UACAUGGGGUGCAAACGUUGCUCGGAAUUACUGGGCGUAAAGCGCGCGUAGGCGGCUUUGCAAGUCGGGUGUGAAAUCCCCAGGCUUAACCUGGGAACUGCAUUCGAGACUGCAUUGCUAGAGUAUGGGAGAGGGAAGUGGAAUUUCCGGUGUAGCGGUGAAAUGCGUAGAUAUCGGAAGGAACAUCAGUGGCGAAAGCGACUUCCUGGACCAAUACUGACGCUCAUGUGCGAAAGCGUAGGGAGCAAACGAGG
rnacentral:rRNA from 1 species